rnacentral:snRNA from 1 species
UUGCUCACUUCAGCAGCAUAUAUACUAAAAUUGGAAUGAUACAGAGAAGAUUAGCAUGGCCCAUGCACAAGAAUGACAUGUGAAUUCCUGAAUCAUUCCAUAUUUUU